AUCAAAGUAGCUCAAUUGGUAGAGCUUUAGUUUUACACACUAGCGGUUAUAGGUUCAAGUCCUAUCUUUGAUA
rnacentral:tRNA from 1 species